rnacentral:rRNA from 1 species
UACGGGGGGAGCAAGCGUUGUUCGGAUUUACUGGGCGUAAAGGCGCGUAGGCGGCCUGUGCAAGUCAGUUGUGAAAUCUCCGAGCUUAACUCGGAAAGGUCAACUGAUACUGCUCGGCUAGAGUGCGGAAGGGCAACUGGAAUUCUUGGUGUAGCGGUGAAAUGCGUAGAUAUCAAGAGGAACACCUGCGGCGAAGGCGGGUUGCUGGGCCGACACUGACGCUGAUGCGCGAAAGCUAGGGGAGCGAACGGG